UUUGCGGUAAAAAUACUUUCCGUCACUAUUGUGGAACUUCCGUAGGUACCUUUCCAUUUUCUGCCAUAUAAUAUGCCAAAUGGCAUGUCAUGUCAUUAAAAUAAAUGCCACAUCACUCCCACCAGUAACAAUAAAUAUUGCCACAUCAUAUACCUUAAAAAAACUAAUAAAAUAUUUUCAAAAAUAAAAAACACUAAUAAAAAAAAUAAAUUCAUGUAAAAAAAAAAACUAAAAUUAAUUACCACUCUCUUUCUCUUUCACCAUUUUCGUCUCCUGCUACCUCUCUUUCUCUCUCAAAAUAUCUCAAAGUCUCAACCCUAAAAUGGAAGAGACGAUCUGUACCCAGUGGGUAUGAAGACCAUUAAUGGCCAUUUCUCUAUGUCGCUGUUGAUGUUGAGGGUGGGCAUCAGAGUUUGGUGUGGGUGUUCGCCGACGGCUGGAGACGAGAAGUUCGACAUUGACGGUGCCGACUUCGACGGAAUCGGCAUCGACAGGCUAAGAAGAUCAAAGCCCUAAUUUUUUGUUGAAGCCUAGAUCUUCGUCUUAGUCCAGCACCACCGCUUCUUCAUCUCGUAUCUUCGUGUCAAUCCACCGGUGUUUCUUAUUCUUCUCUUCGUGUAUUGAUUUUUAAUUUUUAAUAUAUGGAUCUAAGUAAUAGCUAUCAUUUUUAGUUUAGGAUCUGAAAUUUUGUGUACUGUAUUAGUUUUGGUCUGUUUAUGGCUGCCCAAAAAUACUAAUAUAAUAGUUAUAAGUAUUUGAAUAAAUAUUUUAAUGUGGUCUGUUUAGUUUGGGAUUUAAAAUUUUGUGUACUGAAAUUUUGAAUAAGUAUUUUAAUGCGACUGUUUAUGGCUGCCCAA